AAUGAACGCUGGCGGCGUGCCUAACACAUGCAAGUUGAGCGGUAAGGCCCCUUCGGGGGUACACGAGCAGCGAACGGGUGAGUAUCGCGUGGGUAAUCUACCUAGAGGUGGGGGAUAGCCUCGGGAAACCGAGGGUAAUACCGCAUGAGUCCUCGACGGCAUAAGUCGACGAGGGGAAAGGCGGGGCUCCUUCGGGACCUGUCGCCUCUGGAUGAGCCCGCGUCCGAUUAGCUAGUUGGUGGGGUAAUGGCCUACCAAGGCAACGAUCGGUAGCCGGCCUGAGAGGGUGAACGGCCACAUUGGGACUGAGACACGGCCCAGACUCCUACGGGAGGCAGCAGUGGGGAAUUUUGGGCAAUGGGGGAAACCCUGACCCAGCGACGCCGCGUGGAGGAUGACGGCCUUCGGGUUGUAAACUCCUGUCAGGUGGGAAGAAGAGCUUGUCGGUUAAUACCCGGCAGGAAUUGACGGUACCACCAAAGGAAGCCCCGGCUAACUCCGUG
rnacentral:rRNA from 1 species